GGGGCUACAGCUCAGAGGCAGAGCAUCUUCUUUGCAUGCAGAAGGUCCCAGGAUUGAUCCCCAGUAUCUCCA